UCCAGACUCCUACGGGAGGCAGCAGUGAGGAAUAUUGGUCAAUGGGCGCGAGCCUGAACCAGCCAAGUCGCGUGAGGGAGGACGGCCCUACGGGUUGUAAACCUCUUUUGCCGGGGAGCAACGGGCGUCACGUGUGGCGCCACUGAGAGUACCCGGAGAAAAAGCAUCGGCUAACUCCGUGCCAGCAGCCGCGGUAAUACGGAGGAUGCGAGCGUUAUCCGGAUUUAUUGGGUUUAAAGGGUGCGCAGGCGGAUUUUUAAGUCAGCGGUCAAAUCGUGGGGCUCAACCCCAUCCAGCCGUUGAAACUGGGGAUCUAGAGUGUCCGAGAGGUAUGCGGAAUGCGCAGUGUAGCGGUGAAAUGCUUAGAUAUUGCGCAGAACUCCGAUUGCGAAGGCAGCAUACCGGCGGCGAUCUGACGCUGAGGCACGAAAGCGUGGGAAUCGAACAGGAUUAGAUACCCUUGUA
rnacentral:rRNA from 1 species